UACGUAGGGACCAAGCGUUGUUCGGAUUUACUGGGCGUAAAGGGCGCGUAGGCGGCAAUUCAAGUCAUCUGUGAAAUCUCCGGGCUUAACUCGGAACGGUCAGAUGAUACUGCUUUGCUAGAGUGCAGAAGGGGCAAUCGGAAUUCUUGGUGUAGCGGUGAAAUGCGUAGAGAUGUGGAGGAACACCAGUGGCGAAGGCGACUCUUUGGCCUGUAACUGACGCUGAGGCGCGAAAGCGUGGGGAGCAAACAGG
rnacentral:rRNA from 1 species